ACUUUGUGAUGAGAACGUUUGUGUAUACUUAGUAGUAUUAUGUGUCAUAGUUACUCUGAAAGUGU